UACGUAGGGCGCAAGCGUUUAUCCGGAAUUAUUGGGCGUAAAGAGCUCGUAGGCGGUUUGUCGCGUCUGCCGUGAAAGUCCGGGGCUCAACUCCGGAUCUGCGGUGGGUACGGGCAGACUAGAGUGAUGUAGGGGAGACUGGAAUUCCUGGUGUAGCGGUGAAAUGCGCAGAUAUCGGGAGGAACACCAAUUGCGAAGGCAGCUUGCUGGGACGAUACUGACGCUGAGGCGCGAAAGCGUGGGGAGCAAACAGG
rnacentral:rRNA from 1 species